GCGCUAUUGGAGAAGCCUUCGUCGGAUUAGCUAGUUGGUGGGGUAAAGGCCUACCAAGGCGACGAUCCGUAGCUGGUCUGAGAGGAUGAUCAGCCACACCGGAACUGAGACACGGUCCGG
rnacentral:rRNA from 1 species